rnacentral:misc_RNA from 1 species
UUUUUUUUUUUUUUUUAAUUUUCAUUUUUUUCCUUCAUGUGAUUGCUUUCUCAAUUGGAUUUUGGGACGGUGAUUAUUUGGGCAUGGUGAUGUGAUUACACGUGUACGAUCUGAUGAUGGGAUGAGAGGAUGAUUAUUGUAGAAAUGGGUAUGAUGUACAUCAAAUAAAACAGUUUGCUAUUCUUUUCUAAGUGUUCCUAGUUCUUUGUCUUUUAU